rnacentral:rRNA from 1 species
CAGGUCUGUGAUGCCCUUAGAUGUUCUGGGCCGCACGCGUGUUACACUGAAGGUAUCAACGUGUCUUCCCUGACCGAGAGGUCCGGGUAACCCGCUGAACCCCCUUCGUGGUAGGGAUCGGAGCUUGCAAUUAUUCUCCGUGAACCAGGAAUGCCCAGUAAGUGCAAGUCAUAAGCUUGCAUUGAUUACGUCCCUGCCGUUUGUACACACCGCCCGU